GAUGAACGCUGGCGGCGUGCUUAACACAUGCAAGUCGAACGGGAAUUAUUUUAUUGAAACUUCGGUCGAUUUAAUUUAAUUCUAGUGGCGGACGGGUGAGUAACGCGUGGGUAACCUGCCUUAUACAGGGGGAUAACAGUCAGAAAUGGCUGCUAAUACCGCAUAAGCGCACAGAGCUGCAUGGCUCAGUGUGAACAACUCCGGUGGUAUAAGAUGGACCCGCGUUGGAUUAGCUGGUUGGUGGGGUAACGGCCCACCAAGGCGACGAUCCAUAGCCGGCCUGAGAGGGUGAACGGCCACAUUGGGACUGAGACACGGCCCAGACUCCUACGGGAGGCAGCAGUGGGGAAUAUUGCACAAUGGGGGAAACCCUGAUGCAGCGACGCCGCGUGAAGGAAGAAGUAUCUCGGUAUGUAAACUUCUAUCAGCAGGGAAGAUAGUGACGGUACCUGACUAAGAAGCCCCGGCUAACUACGUG
rnacentral:rRNA from 1 species